AACAUUUACUUUGAUAGAUAGAUAGAUAGAUAGAUAGAUAGAUAGAUAGAUAGAUGAUAGAUAGAUAGAUAGAUAGAUAGAUAGAUAGAUAGAUAGAUAAAAUUCUUUCCGUUUUGAAUGAGAAAGCUCCAUACAUUUGAAGGGCCAUUGAAAGACCAUCUUCAUUUCUCUCCUGUCUCCACAAAAUACUUCCCUAAGAGUUUUACAGAUGAGAAUGCCUUUGGCAUUUAAUCAUGCCUCCCACCUGCCCAGGGAGACCCAGCAAUCUCCCUGGGUGCCCUAGUUUGUGGUUCAUCAUUUCCCCUCUAGGAAGAAAUUAUUCUUUAAUGUUAACUCUGUCAAAGUAGUGCCCUUCCUAAUUGGGUUAAGAAUAAACUUGGCAAGAGUUCCUGCUAAGUCAGUUUAGAGAAAAUUCCCCCACCUUUUGAUAUCUGAUGAAGCCCUGGCCUAUCUUCAGCAAGAAUCCUGUAAGUAGGUUUAGCAACAAUCCUCCCACCUUGAUGUCUUCUCUUAGCAAUUUUCCAUCCACUUGUCCUUAUUGUAUUUGGAGUCUAGUGCAGUCUCUCUCCUUUAGUGUAAUGUACCCAUUACAAUAGUCCUGGAUAAAGUCCCUCUUUUAUCACGUCAGGAUAAUUAUUUCUUAACACGGAACAUGCUGACUAUGGAAGAUUAAAUUCAGAAGUGUCCCUUCUCCAAGGUGCAGCAUCUGUCUAAAUCUGAAAGGUAACUUUUCUGUGUCAUUUAACGGGGGAUCUUAUGUCCCCGAAGCCACUUGAGGUUUCAGGCAAGAGAAUGAGCGUUUCUAAUUCUGCCUUCUCACAAGAUUCCUGGCACUCAACUGAGAUGAAAGGAUGGUGGGAAAUGGUUUAUGUGACCACUGUCCCAGCUAGUGAAGAUCUGCUGGAGCUAGGUGACAGGGCUGUGGACUUUGGAAAGUAGAAGCAGAGGCAACCUCAGAGAAGGUGCCCAACUAGCUACUACUGCUUUCACCUUCACCCUCAGCUCUAGUCCUGCCCAGAAACCAGUGACUCCUCUGGCCUUUGGACUGUCAACUCCAUGGAAAAGGAAGCAUACAGGAUCUUAGUUCCUCAACCAAGGAUUGAACCCAA